rnacentral:rRNA from 1 species
AGAGUUUGAUCCUGGCUCAGGAUGAACGCUGGCGGCAUGCCUAAUACAUGCAAGUCGAACGAGAGGAAGGAAAGCUUGCUUUUCUGAAUCUAGUGGCGAACGGGUGAGUAACACGUAGGUAACCUGCCCAUGUGCCCGGGAUAACUUCUGGAAACGGAUGCUAAAACCGGAUAGGUAGCAGACAAGCAUUUGACUGCUAUUAAAGUGGCUAAGGCCAUGAACAUGGAUGGACCUGCGGUGCAUUAGCUAGUUGGUGAGGUAACGGCCCACCAAGGCGACGAUGCAUAGCCGGCCUGAGAGGGCGGACGGCCACAUUGGGACUGAGACACGGCCCAAACUCCUACGGGAGGCAGCAGUAGGGAAUUUUCGUCAAUGGGGGGAACCCUGAACGAGCAAUGCCGCGUGAGUGAGGAAGGUCUUCGGAUCGUAAAGCUCUGUUGUAAGAGAAAAACGACAUUCAUAGGGAAUGAUGAGUGAGUGAUGGUAUCUUACCAGAAAGUCACGGCUAACUACGUGCCACCAGCCGCGGU